GGCUGGAUGGGAAUUUUAUGGGUUUAUAAUGGAAUUUUAGAUAGGAAAAAUUUGUGAAUAUUAUGAAAUAUUAAAUUGAAAGAAUGAAAAAUAAAUUCCAUACCAUGAAAUCAGGGAAAAAAUCCCAAUUUUCCAGAGCUGUAAACUGCAAAUUUUUUAUCUGAUGUAACAACACAUCCUAUAGGAGAUUUCUAUACCAUAAAUCCUCCCAAAAUGUUCUUUUUUUCAGAAAUUUUGAGGCUGAUUUUCAGCUCCUGCCAACUCACCACUGCUUGAGAAGGAGGAGGAGCAGCUCCAAAUUUGCUUUUCCAGAGGAUUUCACUGGUAUGGAAAAUUCCCAAACUUCCCACUCCGUUGGAUCCCGGGAUACUCAGGAAUUCCGAUGGAAGAGCUCUGUUGGUAAAACAUAAAUUUAACAAUUAUUAUUGGUAAAACAUAAAUUUAACAAUUAUUAUUGGUAAAACAUAAAUUUAACAAUUAUUA
rnacentral:lncRNA from 1 species